GGGCAGAUACCCAAGUGGCUAAAGGGGCCAGACUGUAAAUCUGGUGGCUCAGCCUUCGGGGGUUCGAAUCCCUCUCUGCCCA
rnacentral:tRNA from 1 species